AAAAAAAACCCAAAAAACAAAAACAAAACAAAACAAAACAACAACAACAACAACAACAAACAAAUAGCCCAAUGAAUAAAUGGGCCAAGGAACUGAACAGACACCUCUCAAAAGAUGAUAUACAAUCAAUCAACAAAUAUACAAAGAAAGUUCAACAUCUGAAGCAAUUAGAGAAAUGCAAAUCAAAACUACGUGAGAUUUCAUCUCACUGCAGUCAGAAUAGCAGCUAUUAAGAAGACAAACAACAAUAAGUGUUGGUGAGGAUGUGGGGGGAAAGGCACACUCAUACAUUGCUGGCGGGACUGCAAAUUGGUGCAACCAAUAUGAAAAGCAGUAUGGAGACUCCUUGGAAAAUUGGGAAUGGAACCACCAUUUGAUCCAGCUAUCCAACUCCUUGGUCUAUACCCAAAGGACUUAAAAACUACAUACUACAGGGAAAUAGACAUAUCAAUGUUCAUAGCAGCACAAUUCACAAUAAAUAAAUUGUGGAACCAAUCUAGAUGCCCUUCAAUAAAUGAAUGGAUAAAGAAAAUGUGGUAUAUAUAGAUAAUGGUAUAUUACUCAACAAUAAAAGAGAAUAAAAUCAUGGCAUUUGCAGGAAAAUGGAUGGAGCUGGAGAAUAUAAUGCUAGGUGAAGUAAACAAAUCUCAAAAAAAUGCUGAAUGUUUUCUCUGAUAUAAGGAGACUGAUUAAUUGUGGGGUUGGGAGGGAAAACAUGGGUGGAUUAGACAAACUCCAGAUAGGGAAAAGGGGAAUGGAUAUAAGGGAAGGCAUACGGCAGUAUAAAAAGAUGGUGAAAUGAGAUGAACAUCAUUACCCUAAGUACGUGUAUAAAGACAGGAAUGGUGUAAAUAUAUUUUGUAUACAAUCAUAGAUAUAAAAAAUUGUGCUUUAUAUGUGAAUAUGAAUUGUAAUGCAUUUUGUUGUCAUAUAUAACAACUUAGAAUUUUUUAAAAAAGAAAUACUACACACAAAAGAACUUGCAAACAAACUACAAAGCUCUGCAAUUGAUUACACUCACUAGAGGAGCAGUUACUAAUUUUUAAAUUUAAAUACAUGAAACAAAUCAAAAUGGCAGAAAAUAAUUAUGAUCUCUUCAUAAGAACUCUGAAUAAAAGGGCUCAACUUCUGCUAGUUGUAGACAAACAGAAUGUAUUUAAAAACAAGACCCAGGUAUAUGCUGUUUGCAAAAUUCAUCAACAAAGAUAGCCAUAAGCUGAUAGAGGAAGAAAGAAAAUUAUAUUCUAUGCUAAUGGGGUUAAAAAAGUAGUUGUCACUAUACUCAUGUGUAACAAAGAGAUUUCAAGCAAAAGUUAAUCAGAUGAGACAAAGAAGGUUAGUACACACUUGUAAAGGGAACAAUCCAAUAAGAAGAGAUAAUCAUAGCGAUAUUUAUGGCUAAAGUAAAUAUCAGUGCACCUAAUUACAUGAAAUAAAUUCUUCUUGACAUUAAGUCUAAGAUAGACCUGAAUGGAAUAAUACUGGUGAUUUCAACAUGUCCCUCUCAUAAGAUAUAAAAUCAACAGAUAUGUUAUGGCUUGGGGAUGAGGUGCCCCGCCAAAACUCUUGUGUUAAUGUUCUGAGGUGGAAUGAUUUAAUUAUGAGAGCUGUAACCUUAUCAUAGGAUUCAUUCAUUUGAUGGAUUAAUAAUUUUUUUAUUUUGGGGGUACUGGGGAUUGAACUCAGGAGCACUUGACCAUUGAGCCAUAUCCUCAGCCCUAUUUUGUAUUUUAUUUAGAAGCAGUGUCUCACUGAGUUGUUUAGUACAUUGCUUUUGCUUUUGCAGGCUUUGAAAUCAUGAUCCUCUUGCCUCAGCCUCCCAUGCAGCUGUGAUUAUAGGCAUGUGCCACCCCCCUAUCUGGGUAAUAAUUUGAAUGGACUAACUGGGUGUUACUAAUAGGUAGAUGGGAUGUGGCUGGAGGAAGUAGAUCUCUGAGGGUGUGACCUUGGAAACUAUAUCUGGUUUCCCUGGCCCCUCUUUGUCUCUCUGUGUUUCCUGAUUACCACAAUGUGAACAAUAUUCCGUCAUAAUGUUCUUUCUGCCUUAUCUUGGGCCCAGAGCAAUGGAGACAGCUGACCAUGGACUGAACCUCUGAAACUAUGAGACUAAGUAAGCUUUUAUUCCUCUAAAUUUUUCUAGUCAGGUAUUUUGCUUACAGCAACAAAAACAACAAACACAACCCUUCUGAUCUAAAUAAUACCAUAAAUUGAAUGCACCCAACAGAAAAUUAUAGGCUAUUUCAUCCAAUAACAAGCAAAUUCACCUUCUCUCAAUAGCUCACUGAACAUUCUCCAAAAUAGACCAUAUUUUAAGUUAUAGGUGUUUGAAAAUACAAAAUAAUCAAUAUAAUCCCUUUGAUCAGAUCAUAAUGGAAUUCAAUUAGAAAUAAACAUGAAAUUACAUAAGCACAUGGGGAAUAAAUAAUUCUCUUUUGAAAAGAAAAGGGUCUUAGAUUAAAUGAUAAGAGAAAGUUUAUAAAUUUCUAGAAUCAAACAAGAAUAGUAAUACAACAUUAAAAAGUUCUGGGACAUUAUGCAGAGUUGUUGCUGAGAGGAAUUUUAUAGAAGUAGAUGCCUACAUUAAAAAAAGAGAAACAAGUCCCAAAUAAAUGAUCCAAUAUUAUAUCUCAAUGUGCCAUAAAAUCAGGAAAAAAAACUAACUCCAAAAUGAGAAAAAAGUUUAGAGACAAAUAAAUGAAAUAGUGUGGGGUUGAGUGGGGGGAGGAUCAAUGUAACAAAUACUUCAUUCCUUAAAAAGUUCAAAGAUUGAUAAACCCUUAGGCAAACUAGCCAAAAGAAAGAGUUUAGAGACCAAGUUAAUAAAACUAGAGAUGAGAAAGGCGAUAUCACCACAAACAUUUUUGAAAUCAAGCGGAUCAUUAGGGACUACUUUAAAAAUUUAUAUUCCAAUAAAUUUUUAAAUCUAGAAGAUAAUGACAAUUUCUAGACAUCUAUCACUUACUCAUACUGAGAAAAGAGAAUAUGGGAA
rnacentral:lncRNA from 1 species